UACGAAGGGGGCGAGCGUUGUUCGGAUUUACUGGGCGUAAAGGGCGCGCAGGCGGCUCAUUUUGUCAGGCGUGAAAGCCCCGGGCUUAACCUGGGAACUGCGUUUGAUACGGAUGGGCUAGAGUUCGGGAGAGGAGAGUGGAAUUCCCAGUGUAGAGGUGAAAUUCGUAGAUAUUGGGAAGAACACCGGGGGCGAAGGCGGCUCUCUGGACCGAUACUGACGCUGAGGCGCGAAAGCGGGGGGAGCAAACAGG
rnacentral:rRNA from 1 species